rnacentral:rRNA from 1 species
UACGUAGGGCGCAAGCGUUGUCCGGAAUUAUUGGGCGUAAAGAGCUCGUAGGCGGCCUGUCGCGUCCGCUGUGAAAUCCCGGGGCUUAACCCCGGGCGUGCAGUGGAUACGGGCUGGCUAGAGGCAGGCAGGGGAGAACGGAAUUCCCGGGUGUAGCGGUGAAAUGCGCAGAUAUCAGGAGGAACACCGGUGGCGAAGGCGGUUCUCUGGGCCUUACCUGACACUGAGGAGCGAAAGCGUGGGGAGCGAACAGG